UACGUAGGUGGCGAGCGUUGUCCGGAAUUACUGGGCGUAAAGGGUGCGUAGGCGGCUGUUUAAGUGAGGUGUGAAAUCCCUGGGCUCAACCUGGGAAUUGCACUCGAAACUGGAGGGCUGGAGUGCGGGAGAGGAAAGCGGAAUUUCCGGUGUAGCGGUGAAAUGCGUAGAUAUCGGAAGGAACAUCAGUGGCGAAAGCGGCUUCCUGGUCCAGCACUGACGCUCAGGCACGAAAGCGUGGGGAGCAAACAGG
rnacentral:rRNA from 1 species